AGAUGGUUAAACAAAUAAAAGGCACUCUUGCAACAAUAUAGAGAUGGUUAACAUGUACCCUGUGCAAGAAUGACAAUGAAUUUCAUGAAGCAUUCCAUAUUUGU